GACGAACCGUGCGAACGCUGUUCGGAAUCACUGGGUUUAAAGGGCGCGUAGGCGGGCUGUCAAGUCGGUGGUGAAAUCGUUCCGCUCAACGGGACAAUGGCCUUCGAUACUGGCGGCCUGGAGGGAGGUAGGGGCAUGCGGAACUUCUGGUGGAGCGGUGAAAUGCGUUGAUAUCAGAAGGAACGCCGGCGGCGAAAGCGGCGCACUGGACCUUUCUGACGCUGAGGCGCGAAAGCUGAGGGGAGCAAACAGGGAUUAAGA
rnacentral:rRNA from 1 species